rnacentral:rRNA from 1 species
CCUACGGGAGGCAGCAGUGGGGGAUAUUGCACAAUGGGGGAAACCCUGAUGCAGCGACGCCGCGUGGGUGAAGAAGCGCCUCGGCGCGUAAAGCCCUGUCAGCAGGGAAGAACAUGACGGUACCUGCAGAAUAAGCCCCGUCUAACUACGUGCCAGCAGCCGCGGUAAUACGUAGGGGGCAAGCGUUAUCCGGAUUUACUGGGUGUAAUGGGGGCGCAGACGGCGAUGCAAGCCAGGAGUGAAAGCCCGGGGCCCAACCCCGGGACAGCUCUUGGAACUGCGUGGCUAGAGUGCAGGAGAGGCAGGCGGAAGUCCUGGGGUAGCGGGGAAAUGCGUAGAUAUCAGGAGGAACACCGGUGGCGAAGGCGGCCUGCUGGACUGCAACUGACGUUGAGGCCCGAAAGCGUGGGGAGCAAACAGGAUUAGAUACCCCAGUAGUC